UACGUAGGCAGCAAACGUUGUUCGGAGUUACUGGGCGUAAAGCGUACGUAGGCGGUUUGCCAAGUUUGGUGUGAAAUCCCCGAGCUCAACUCGGGAACUGCGUCCGAUACUGGCGGGCUUGAAUCCGGGAGAGGGAUGCGGAAUUCCAGGUGUAGCGGUGAAAUGCGUAGAUAUCUGGAGGAACACCGGUGGCGAAGGCGGCAUCCUGGACCGGCAUUGACGCUGAGGCGCGAAAGCUAGGGGAGCAAACGGG
rnacentral:rRNA from 1 species